UGCAGGCUGUCAUUUUGUGCGGACGCUUUGCCUUCAGGGUAGCGAAGUCUGUUUCGAUGAUAACAUAUUUGGAAAAUGCAUACCGACAACUGGCGUAGAUGUUGAGGACAUUGAAAAAACACCCCUCACGGAGGAUCAAUCUCGCACCCUCGC